UACGUAGGGUGCGAGCGUUGUCCGGAAUUACUGGGCGUAAAGAGCUCGUAGGUGGUUUGUCGCGUUGUUCGUGAAAACUCACAGCUUAACUGUGGGCGUGCGGGCGAUACGGGCAGACUGGAGUACUGCAGGGGAGACUGGAAUUCCUGGUGUAGCGGUGGAAUGCGCAGAUAUCAGGAGGAACACCAAUGGCGAAGGCAGCUCGCUGGGACGGUACUGACGCUGAGGUGCGAAAGCGUGGGGAGCAAACAGG
rnacentral:rRNA from 1 species